rnacentral:rRNA from 1 species
UAUCAGCUUGUUGGUGGGGUAAUGGCCUACCAAGGCGUCGACGGGUAGCCGGCCUGAGAGGGCGACCGGCCACACUGGGACUGAGACACGGCCCAGACUCCUACGGGAGGCAGCAGUGGGGAAUAUUGCGCAAUGGACGAAAGUCUGACGCAGCAACGCCGCGUGAGGGAUGACGGCCUUCGGGUUGUAAACCUCUUUCAGCAGGGACGAAGCGAGAGUGACGGUACCUGCAGAAGAAGGACCGGCCAACUACGUGCCAGCAGCCGCGGUAAUACGUAGGGUCCGAGCGUUGUCCGGAAUUAUUGGGCGUAAAGGGCUCGUAGGCGGUUCGUCACGUCGGGAGUGAAAACUCGGGGCUUAACCCCGAGCCUGCUUCCGAUACGGGCAGACUAGAGGUAGGCAGGGGAGAGCGGAACUCCUGGUGUAGCGGUGGAAUGCGCAGAUAUCAGGAAGAACACCGGUGGCGAAGGCGGCUCUCUGGGCCUUACCUGACGCUGAGGAGCGAAAGCGUGGGUAGCGAACAGGAUUAGAUACCCUGGUAGUCCACGCCGUAAACGUUGGGCGCUAGGUGUGGGGGACAUUCCACGUCCUC